AACUUUUGACAACGGAUCUCUUGGCUCUCGCAUCGAUGAAGAACGCAGCGAAAUGCGAUAAGUAAUGUGAAUUGCAGAAUUCAGUGAAUUAUCGAAUCUUUGAACGCACCUUGCGCCCCUCGGUUAUUCCUUGGGGCAUGCCUGUUUGAGUAUCAUGAACACCUCAACUCUCACGGUCUUCCGUUACGAGCGUGGACUUUGGGGGUUUGCUGGCCCUGCGGCCGGCUCCUAUCAAACAAAUCAGCCUGCCAGUGUUUGGCGGCAUCUCACGGGUGGGAUAACUAUCUACGCCCGUGGCUGUCUGCCAGGUAACCCUCAGCGAUGUAGCUUCAUUGGGGCUUAUAAACGUCUCUUCUCGGCGAGGACAGCUUUUGAACGUUCGAUCUCAAAUCAGGUAGGACUACCCGCUGAACUUAAGCAUAUCAAUAAGCGGAGGCU
rnacentral:misc_RNA from 1 species